GUCAAACUCUCUGUUGCCAUUCCCUCCAACCUGCCAUUUCUCAGCUGUUGAGACACCCCCUUUAGACAAGACUAUUAGACCCGUGGCAGGAUACUGCACAUUUUCCACACGAGAAGCUCACCGCCAUUUAGUACAAAUUACCGCCAUCAGCUCCACCCACGUUGCAUCGUAGCCGUCGAUUCCCGAGGGAGCAAUUCUUCAAAUCUUCUUCAAAUCUUUCUUCCACAUGCCCAGCUGCACAUACUCCGUCGACUCUCUGUCCUUCUACUCCUGGCUUGUGAAUUCCACUCAAUUGCCCCGGUUAAUGGAGAGAACACAAUAAAGCAUCGAACGCUCUUGGAGGUAAAACUCCUCUAUGCGCCCCGACAUUGAGCGGGAAACCUCCGAGCCCUGAAUCGGCCUCGGCACAGCCUGGUUCUGUUUAGCGACGCUGGGUUUUACACGACCGCCAGCCACGACUGCCAUAUUGAUAGACCCUCCACCACGGCGCGGUAAUGCAGCCGAAAUGAGCAGAGAACUAAAAUCAGCCAUGCACCCUCACGCCCACCGCUGGCGUUCGACUCCGCUGUAAUAGUUUCUAUUUGUGGAAGAGGAAGGAUAUAAACAAAUGCAUUAGCUUUGCCUCGCCACAGGAACGACAGGGGAAAACAAGUCAAAGUGAACAGCGGGAAAGAGAGGAGGUGAGGCGGUGGGUGCAGAAAAGGAGUGGGGGAAGGCAGGAACGAAAUAAAAAUGUUGCGAUUGGGAUGUAAAACUGCAAAGCGGCGUGAACAGAUAAGGGACGGAGAGAGAGAGAGAGUGAGAGGGAGGGAGGACGGAGAUGGUGUGAGUAGAUCCAAUCUCCAACCCUGUCAAUCAGAACCGCCGUGUUUACUGCCCACACAUCCCUGCCCCUUUUACAGGCAUUACACAUGCAAGCGAAGACUGUCUCGCGUCAGCCGUAUUGAUCAUGUGCCAGGGCAGACCGGCGGCCUCUGCUGAUUGAAUAUGUUGGAUGACUUCCAUCGCGGAGCUUCGUCUUCAAAGUGGUUCCGAAGCUCUGGAUCAAACGCGGAGCGUCGUAAGCGAUUAGGGGCGGUAAUGAUAAUGACUUUGUUCUGUUCUGGAUGACCGUUUGAUGAAGUUUGUUAGGCUUCUUCUGCGGCUCUGAAGUUCAAAGAGGCACGCCGACCACUACUUGAAGUGAGUGAAAUGGUUCCUGUCGUUAAAUUGACUGUAUAAUAAAAUCAUUUGCAAGCUCAUGAGCUCUGUAAAUCUAGAAUCAUUCUUCUAGAAAAUCGGUGCCGGGAAUUACU